rnacentral:lncRNA from 1 species
UUGAAAGAGAGGACAGGAUCGAGCCAAUAUGCGAUCGCGAAAUUCAUCGAAGAGAAGUAUAAGCAAUUACCGGCGAAUUUCCGCAAAGUCUUACUUGUUCAGACGAAGAAGUUUGUUGCUUCUGGAAAGCUCGUCAAAGUGAAAGCCUCUUUUAAGCUGCCUUCGGCAUCUGCCGCAGCUAAGAAACCGGCCGCCGUAGCUAAGAAGCCUGCCGCCGCGAAGCCUAAAUCUGCAACUACCACUGCCGCCUCAAAGUCCAAGCCGAAGGCGACUAAAACCGCGUCGAAACCGAAAGCCAAAGCCAAAGUUGGAACGCCUGUGAAGGCAAAGGCUAAAGUUGCGGCGAAAC